UUUAUGGGGUGACUGCGUACCUUUUGUAUAAUGGGUCAGCGACUUAUAUUCUGUAGCAAGGUUAACCGUAUAGGGGAGCCGAAGGGAAACCGAGUCUUAACUGGGCGUUAAGUUGCAGGGUAUAGACCCGAAACCCGGUGAUCUAGCCAUGGGCAGGUUGAAGGUUGGGUAACACUAACUGGAGGACCGAACCGACUAAUGUUGAAAAAUUAGCGGAUGACCUGUGGCUGGGGGUGAAAGGCCAAUCAAACCGGGAGAUAGCUGGUUCUCCCCGAAAGCUAUUUAGGUAGCGCCUCGUGAACUCAUCUUCGGGGGUAGAGCACUGUUUCGGCUAGGGGGCCAUCCCGGCUUACCAACCCGAUGCAAACUACGAAUACCGAAGAAUGUUAUCACGGGAGACACACGGCGGGUGCUAACGUCCGUCGUGAAGAGGGAAACAACCCAGACCGCCAGCUAAGGUCCCAAAGUCAUGGUUAAGUGGGAAACGAUGUGGGAAGGCACAGACAGCCAGGAUGUUGGCUUAGAAGCAGCCAUCAUUUAAAGAAAGCGUAAUAGCUCACUGGUCGAGUCGGCCUGCGCGGAAGAUGUAACGGGGCUAAACCAUGCACCGAAGCUGCGGCAGCGACGCUUAUGCGUUGUUGGGUAGGGGAGCGUUCUGUAAGCCGUUGAAGGUGUGCUGUGAGGCAUGCUGGAGGUAUCAGAAGUGCGAAUGCUGACAUAAGUAACGAUAAAGCGGGUGAAAAGCCCGCUCGCCGGAAGACCAAGGGUUCCUGUCCAACGUUAAUCGGGGCAGGGUGAGUCGACCCCUAAGGCGAGGCCGAAAGGCGUAGUCGAUGGGAAACAGGUUAAUAUUCCUGUACUUGGUGUUACUGCGAAGGGGGGACGGAGAAGGCUAUGUUAGCCGGGCGACGGUUGUCCCGGUUUAAGCAUGUAGGCGGAGGUUCCAGGUAAAUCCGGUACCUUUU
rnacentral:rRNA from 1 species